CUUCCGCCGUGCCGCCGGUCAUCGGCAUCGGUCGGAGAAAGGUUGGACCGCGCUGUUGCCCUGGCGCGGUCCAACACCUUC
rnacentral:sRNA from 1 species